rnacentral:lncRNA from 1 species
AAAUCUUUAAAGCAUUUUAAUAGAUGAAUGAAUUCAGGCUGAGAUUAUUUUGAGUGUUUAGAAUAGAUGUAAAAGACUUGUGUUUUAGUGAACUGUGUUGUUAAUAUGUAGUUGUGGAGAUGUCUGUUUCCCCUCGAGACACUGACGGAAAGCAGGAUUCCUACUUGAAGAGGUAUUACAAAACCCUUCCUGAGGAGAAAAGAUUGAUGAUGGAAAAGUCUCUAAUGGAUGCAGAUAAUAAUGAGCAAGCACACACCAUUGGUCUAAAUAAGGGUGUUUUCUCAAAAGAUCCCAAAAAAGAGCACAUUAAACACAGAAAGGCUGAAGAUUCUGAAGAUAAUGAUGCCAAAAAGGAUAAAAAAUCAUCCACGUGCACUGUGUUAUAACACAUCAUACACAUCACACAUCUUACCCAUGCAUAAUUACAGUACCUCUCUUUGCCAGUCAGAUACAAUUGAAAAUGCCAUAUCUUGUAUUAGCAGUAUUAUUUGUUUAUUUUAGAUUCUGAACAUGCUUUUAGAAAUGUUCUCCUUUUAUAUAAUAAUAAGAGGUUUUGUGGCAAUUUAAUAUAAAAAAAACUAAAGCUAAGCGGCAACGUCUUUACUCAUAAGGCCAGGUUUUAUCAUUGUUUUGAAUGGAAAACGUGAAUCUAUAUUUUGCCCAAUUCAAUACAGCAAAAAAAAAAAAAAAAAAUGGAGACAAUAUUUGAGUGAUACAUUUAAAACAGCAUCUACAGUGCAUUACAACAUGGAAAUGCAACAGACACACAAAACCACAUGGGGUUUACCCAUAAUGCCUUGUGCAUGAGCAAAUGGUGCAGCUGAGUGUCAUAAAAGCAGUCAACAACAUAAUACAAGUGUAAAGUAAACACAA